AGAGAAAAGGUGGUAGCUAUUCUAGCAAGUCUUCUGUGGAGGAGUAGCACUAGGCUAGUAACUUAUUACACUAGUCUCGAUUCCUCAAGGUUGUACGAGCUGUAAUAGUAGUAGAAAAACCUCCCGUCCCGAGUUGGCUUAAGCCAUGCCUUUACUAAAGAAUUCUCGCCAUCUCAGAUAAAAUCUGGUGUGGAGCCCAGGCUAGCCAACAAUGAGAAAUGCCUUCCUGAUAGUAGUAGAAAAACCUCCCGUACCGAGUUGGCUUAAGCCAUGCCUUUACUAAUGAAUUCUUGCCAUCUCAGAUAAUAGGAGGGAAUAGACUAUGAUGAGACUUUUGCUCCAGUUGCAAGAUUGGAAGCAAUCAGACAUCUCAUAGUCUUUACUGCUUACAUGGAAUUAACUCUCCAUCAGAUGGAUCUUAAGAGUGCCUUCCUCAAUGGCUAUAUAAAGGAAGAAGUAUUUGUCAAGCAACCCCCGGGCUUUGAAAGUAAGGGAUGUCCUGAUCACGUGUACAAGUUUGACAAGGCACUUUGUGGGCUCAAGCAAGCUCCAAAAGCAUGGUAUGAAAGAUUGUCAAAAUUCUUGCUUGAGCAUGGCCACAAGAGAGGUAAAAUUGACAAUACCUUUUUAUUGAAAGAAAAAUGUAAAGAUCUCUUGGUAGUUCAGAUAUAUGUUGAUGAUAUAAUAUUUGGAACAACUACUGAUAAGUUAAGUAAUGAAUUUUCUAAACUAAUGGGGAUUGAAUUUGAAAUGAGCAUGAUGGGUGAGUUUAAUUUCUUUUUAGGCUUACAAAUUAAAAAAUUUCAAAUGGAACUAUUAUCCAUUAGCAAAAGUAUGUGAACGAGUUACUUAAAAGGUUUAAAAUGGAAGAUUCCAAAGAAAUUGACACACAUAUAGCAACAACCACGAAACUAGAUAUAAAUGAACCUGGUUUAUCUGUUGAUGAGAAGUUUAUAGGGGAAUGAUUGGAUCUUUGUUAUAUCUCACUAAUAGUAGACCUGGAAUUAUUAUUAGUAUAUGCCUUUGUGCUAGAUUUCAAGUAAAUCCAAAAGAGUCUCACUUGACUGUUGUCAAGAGAUCUUGAGAUACCUAAGAGGCACCGUUGAUCUUUGCCUAUGGUACCUAAAAGAUAGUAAUUUCAACUUGGUGGGAUAUGUUGAUGCUGAUUAUGUAUGUUUCCUUGUAGCUAGAAAGAAAACCUUAGGUAUGACACACUUUCUUGGCUCAUAUCUUGUGUCUUGGGCCACCAAAAAGCAAAAUUCAUGUGGCCUUGUAUGUUGUUGAAGUUGAGCAUGUUAUUGCUGCCUCAUGUUGUGCUCAACUGUUGUGGAUCGAAAAAUAAUGAAUGGACUUUGGAAUUGAUUUAGGUUGUAUCCCCAUCUUUUAUGAUAACACUAUUUCAAUUAGUAUGACCAAUAAUCUGGGUCAUCACAAAAGAAUUAGGCAGAUAGAUUUUAGGCAUCACUUUUUGAGGGACAACUUUAUAAAUAGUUUGAUCACUAUGGAGAGGGAGAAAGUUUGAGAGAAAAAGAGGAUUGUGAGUCUGGAGAAGCUGCUGAGGGGUUGGUUAGAUUAAGGAAGAGGUUCUAAGAACUUAUUCCAUAUGUGCAGGAAUCCCUCGAAGACCUAUUGAAAGGUGUGUUAGACAGUUACAAUCGAAAAGAAAGAAGUGUUCAGGAGUUAAAAUUACCGGUCCUGCUGGGGAAAACAAGAAGAGAAAAGCUGCCUCUUCUAUCCCUAUAGUAACUCCUCCUACAAGAGGGAGAGCUAAAAGGAGUUAGAAGAAGCAGAGUGAGGUUGAACAAGAACAAGCCCUAGAGGAGAGUAAAAUAAAAGCUGCUGCAAAGGAAAAGAAGAAAGUGGUUGAGCAUGUUGAGGCAAUUAAAAUUGAGGAGAUGGACCCGAUACUUUAUGAUAAAGAGGAGGCACAAGUAUCUGGAGGUUGUGAAUCCAAAGGAAAGAAAAUCAAUACUUACAAAUCGAAUUCUCAUUAAAAGACAAAGUUUUUUUAGCCUUCUACCUCUUGGCUAAAAGAACGAGGUCUGCUAUAAAAUCAAGGAAAGUGAAAAUGGUGUGACGACUCGGCCAGUCGUCACGUGAGUUACCGCCCCGUUUUCCCCGUUUUAUGCUUCUAUAUGUCUCAUUAUAUGUGUUUGUAGAGUUUAAGUGAUUCAGACAGAGUUUGGUUGGAAAUGAGACAAUUAGUCUCUUUAAGAGAAUGCUAGUUCGGGAAAGUCAGUCGGAUGUUGAUUUAUGAGUUAUAGAGCUCGGAUUGGAUUUUCAACGAUUUGGCUAGUUUUGGGUGGUGAUUUAUGACUUGGGAGUGAAAACGGAACUGAAAUUGGAGGUCCGGUGUAGAAUUAGGCUUGAAUUGGCUAAGUUUGAAUUUUGGCGAAUUCCGGUUGUUAGGUGAGGUUUUGAUCCGGGGUCGGAAUGGAAUUCCUAGAGUUUCUGUAGCUUUGUGAGGUGAUAUUGAAUAUGUCUGCAAAUUUUCAGGUAAAUCAGACGUCGUUUGGUCGGGUUUUUGAUCAAAUACGAGUUUCGGAAGUUUUAGUUUAACUUAGGCUUGAAUCCGUCGUGAAUUGAUUGUUUUUGUGUUAUUGGUCAUGUUUUUAUGAUUGGAACAAGUUUGUAUGAUGAUUUGGGGUAUGUUGGUGUUUUUGGUUGAGGUCUUGAGGGGCCUCGGGUUGAUUUCAGAUGAUUUUUGGGAAGUUUGGACAUUUCGUCACUUUGUUGAUCAAAACUGCAAUCAAGCACAACCUGUGAGCAUUUUGGGACUAUUUUGUAGCAAUUUAUAAUCAAAGCAUAGGCAAGUAGGGGCAUANNNNNNNNNNNNNNNNNNNNNNNNNNNNNNNNNNNNNNNNNNNNNNNNNNNNNNNNNNNNNNNNNNNNNNNNNNNNNNNNNNNNNNNNNNNNNNNNNNNNNNNNNNNNNNNNNNNNNNNNNNNNNNNNNNNNNNNNNNNNNNNNNNNNNNNNNNNNNNNNNNNNNNNNNNNNNNNNNNNNNNNNNNNNNNNNNNNNNNNNNNNNNNNNNNNNNNNNNNNNNNNNNNNNNNNNNNNNNNNNNNNNNNNNNNNNNNNNNNNNNNNNNNNNNNNNNNNNNNNNNNNNNNNNNNNNNNNNNNNNNNNNNNNNNNNNNNNNNNNNNNNNNNNNNNNNNNNNNNNNNNNNNNNNNNNNNNNNNNNNNNNNNNNNNNNNNNNNNNNNNNNNNNNNNNNNNNNNNNNNNNNNNNNNNNNNNNNNNNNNNNNNNNNNNNNNNNNNNNNNNNNNNNNNNNAGAAUGCAUCAUUAACACAUUUAAACUUUGAAAAACUAUGGAUCAAGUGUGACACAAGAGCAUCAAGAGUUGAUUCAUUACAUCAAAGCACUUCUCUCAAUUAUUUCGGUCAUUGUGUGAAUCCAAACUCAAACAUCCUCAACUCUCCCUAAGCAAACCUCACCUUUUAAAUUUAAGUAUACAAAUCGAGGUUAAUGGUAAUUCACUUGUAUAUCUCAAGGAAGUGUCACAAGUACGGCUCUAAGUACCAUAUGCUCUGCCCUCAUGUAAGUAUCCACUAAUGCGAGUGUCAUCCAACUCAAGAUCAUAUAGGUCUUUUGUGGAGUCAAUGUGAAGGCUUUUGGUUGAGGGUAGGAAAAUUUGUUGGUCUAUAUGGGUUCCAUGUUCCCUUAAACAUUUCUUUUGAUUCAUUUUGGCACAAUUCUCUUGACUCUUUUGAGUGUUUCACUUCUUUUCAAGGGUUAGAGAGAUACAUUGUCACUCUUUCUCCAGCAAUUCAAAACAUUUCUCCUUUUUCUACUUUUUCCACACUUUUUCUUUACUUUUGUUUUCUUCGAGUCCCUUUUUAUUCUUGUUCACAUUGGGCUUUCUUUAUGUCUUUUUCUUUUCUUUCUUUCUCAUUAACUUUCUUUUCUUUUGCUUUUGUAUCUUUACCGCUUUGUUUUCUUUCUUGUCCCCCCCCUCCAACACUUAGACUUUCGCCAUUACUCAAGGAAAAAUUGGGUGCCAAGAGAGGGUAUAAUUAAGAAUAGGUGUAGGCUUGUAGCAAUGGUUCUUGCAAGAAAAAGGUUUAAGGCUCAAAAGAGUUAGCUAGGGAUUAUUUGGUAGGCUAUGGAAUUGUUCAGCUUAUCAAUUGGAUCAAGGAGAGCCUAUAAUCACUUCUCAAGUCGAAUUUCACUCAAUAUUUUGCCUCAACUAACAUUCGGGGCAAGUUUUAGACAAUUGGCUCGGGACUUGAACUCAAGAUUCAAUUUCUCAACACACACAUUCAAGGAUCACUAAAGACAUAGAGUUGGGGGCCCACAACAACCUAAGACACGAUUGACACAUAAUAGUCCCGAAAGACCACAUGAUGUUUGUUUGGUAAACACAAGAGUCAACGCCACUACUUUCACCAUCUUAAACACAACAACUUGUCUUUGACCAUGGGAUCAAAGGCAAUGUGUUAGGCCCAAAUGGAGUUUUUCUUGAGGUACCCUUAACUAUAAACUACUAAAAACAAAAGAAAAUUAAAAAAUAGACUCAAACACAUAAGAAGGUUUUCACGCCAUCCAUCAUCGGGAAGAGCCUCCCGAUUCACACAAUACUCCACCAUUGGAAAGAACUAUGGCAUUAAGAAAACUAAGGGCUUAUUGAAAGCACCAAAAACGAAAAACAAAAAGGCUACGAGCCUAUCUACUAAGCUAAAAAUGGAAAAUUUGUACGAAAAUAGAAAAUAGAAUGAAAAUUUACAACAGGAUAUUAGAAUAUACAGCGUGGGAUGAAUAUAUAGUAAAAUGUAACUUUAUAUACAUACCAAAUAGAAGAUAAAAAGUAUGAUAAAAGUACUGAAUGUAAAGUUAAAUACAUCCCAAAUAGAAAAUAAAAAUGAAACAUAAACUAAUAAUCUAUAUAUACAUUCAUCCAUGGAUAAAAAGUAGGGCACACCCCCUCAAAUAAAAACAGGCAUUGUCCCCAAUGCCAACUAUCAAACAAGCAUAAAAAAUCACAAGAAAGGAUGUAGGAGCUCCCAAAGCCUGGUCUGUUUGCAUGGGAUCAUCAGUGGUCCCUGGGUCCUCUGUAUGUGUGAGAACCUUAGACUAGUUUUCGGUCUCCUGCUGCUCAGCUGCUGGGACUGGGGCCUGGAUCUGGACAGGCUGGAUAUCAAGUGCAUCAUGUGGCAAACUGAAGGAACUCUCAUGUGGGCCUGCCAACUCAAUGAUCACCUCAUCUGCACUUGGGAGCUUCCUCUUCUUCCUGGGAAGCCUCUAAGUCAGCUCCUGUUAUGGCUUUACUACUGGUGCUACUGCUGGUGCUGGAUUCCCAAAUAACAAGUCUAGAGGCAUCUGGUCUGCCAAUAGCUUGUCCACAUAUGCUCAGAGCUCUUAUACAGACCCCUUGGAAGCCCGUGAUUUCCUCAUCUUCUUAUGCUCCCAGACAAGCUCCUUCAGAGCCUUGCCCUGUGAAUCCACUGCCUUAGCUAAGGCAUCUUGUGUCUUUAUCAUCUUCUCCUGGUUCUCCAGGAGCUUCUUCAGUAUGUCCUCAAUGGACCGAGGGACUUGAGCUGUCUGUGGUGCUGAAUGAGUCUCAAUAGUGGAGGACGGCGUAGACAACUUGGAUGCCGCAUAUGGCAUCCAGUUGUUCAAGUUGUGCAAUGUCUGACUCAUCUGAUGGGCAAUGAUGGGAUGGGCCCGAGAAAAUGGGAUCAAUAGGCCAGCUGAAGUAGAGGGGUCAGCAGUAGAGGAAGGUCCUGGAGGCAGGUCAGUAGUAGGUGUAGCAGGCUCAAUGGAAGUCUCAGUAGAAGGGUCUACCACAAUUGGCUCGUCAGAGUGGCCAGUUGGGGCAGAAGCAGGUGGCUUGUACCUCUUGUCCUUGGGGUUAUCUGGCCCCUGUAAGCCGUACCAUGAGAAUGAGGCCACCGGUCUUACCUUGACAUCAAAUGACUUAUUCUCCACUUUCAAAUCCUGGAAGUACAUGGUGAGGGUGUUAGGAAAAGGGUAGUUCCAGUCAAUCUCAGGUCCCACCGCAGUAAUCGCCCAGUACAUUACAUUCCCCAUAUUGAUAGGGAAACCUGCCAUGAUAGAAGCAAUUAGAACAACACGAGGAAGUGAGAUAGUUUAAUCCUGGGAAGUCAGGUCAAGUCAUUUGCAUACAAAGGUCAACCACCCCCUAGCCUUGAAAUUUAAAGUCCCCCGAACAAUCUUCACCCCCGUUUGUAUCCAAUGUGGGACAGUACCCGGGCGUGCCAGGUAUUCAGCUAACCACGGGCGAACCUCUUCGCCCAUUGCCAACUUCUCACUUUACCGGGUCUCAUCUUCGUCAUCAAAACCCAAAUUGUCACGACCCAUUUUCUCAACAAGCCGGACCGGCACUCGAUCACUAAUGAUCGAGCAAACCAUCUCUGCUUAUCAAAUCUAUUAUAAUUUUAAACUUUAUAUGCAACAAGGCAUUACUCUAACCAAAUAAUUUUUAUUAAUUAAACAUUUAAAUAAAUAAACUCCAAUAAUUUAUUCAUAGUAACCAAUGAAAUACUGCUAAGUUAUUACCAAAACAUAUGAAUCUUAACCCAACGACUAUGUCUAUGAGGUCUCUACUGAUAAGCUGACACACUGCUCAAGACAUGAGAUUUCUUGGUCAGUUCUCUAAAUAAACAAAGAAAUAGUUAAAUAAAAAUAACUCUAAGGAAUAAUACGUGAAUAAAGGUAGAGCUCACCAAUAGCACUGGAAGGGAAGAAAUUCCUAACUUGUAGCCUGCUCGUUUGCAAAUCCGAUUCCUACGUUGUACAGUGACCAACGUAGGUUCCCAAAAAAGAACGUCAGUACCAUCUAUUGUACUCAGUGAGUCUCAACAAUAGGGGGAGAAACUUUAAUAUCAUAUACAUUACGAGCAAAGGUUCUAAAUGCAUAUAAGACAUAAAGAUUAUAAGAAUAGUUCUAAAAUAAUUACACAAUAGCAAUUUAUGAAUAUUCUAAAAGAAAUUCUUUACUUUUUCUUUCUUUAAAAACAAUACUUCACUUAAACUUUGGGAGUCCCAACUAUCCUGACUUAAUUCUAUCUCAAUCACCGUGUGACCGACAUGGGUUCGAUUCCGAUCUAAUCGAAUAGGCUCAAUCCACGAGGUGCCACUCGCUUCAUGGUUCUCAGCGCUCAUGUAUCAUACCUUAGCAUGGCUAAGUAAUUUCUCAACAACGAGGCUUUCGGCUAGGGUGCUCCCUACUUUGGCACAAGUAGUUUCAGGAAGUCAACGCCUUAGUCAGGACCCUAGGCAGGGACGAUGACCCCUUCUCAGAAUAAAGGAUACUCCCAAAAAUCUUUUCUUUCUAAAACUUCUUCUUAUGAUUAUUCAAGCCUAAAUAUUUUAUACAUACUCAUACUGGUAUCCUUAAAUGUAUGGCAUGACAUAAGAAUGAAAUAAACAUUUAAAAGUAUUUAUAAAGAUUCUUGAUCCUUCAUGAAUUUUCAACAUGAAAAUGGCAUAUAAGAAUAACAUAAAUAUCUAAAAUGUAUGCACAGAUAUCAAAAUAAUCAUUUAAACUUUAGUUAGAAAAUAAUUCUAAGCUAAUAGGUACUUACUACUCCAAUGAAUAUGAAAUUUAUGCACAUACAUCAAAAUAAUCAUCUAAACUUUAGCUAAAAAAAUUGUAAGUUAAGAGGUACUUACUACUCCAAUUAAGUGUAUAUUAACUCUUUUAUGCAAUUCAUCAAACACCUUGUGUGCGUGCUUUUGUGAGUUAAACCACUUUAAUAAAGUGUUAUAUCAACUCACUUCAAAACUUCUCAAGCCAACACAUAGGCCUCAAUCCAAUUGUCACCAGUCAAACAACCGAUUCUAUAACAACCAAUGUCUUUUAAUUAAUUUUAAAGCUUCACACGUAAACUUAAAAUUUAUAGUUGAUAUAGAGGAAGAAGGGAAUUAACUAUCUAAUUCUUACCUAUUACUAUUGUAAGAUAAUUGACAAUAUAAAAUUUCAUAUACCUGAAUUCAAGAAUUAGUGAUUUGUAUAGAACCCUAAAAUCUUUUCGUGGCCUCCGUGAGUAAGCACCGUUGCCUCUGUUUUGUAGGCUUGUGUUUGCUUUGCUUCUUUUUUUUUUCCUUUUUCCGUUUUUGUUUUGCUUAUUCGAAUAGGGCUUAUGCCUUUUUAUUAUUUUUCUGAACAAGUCUUCUACCUUUUGCCUCCUUCUUAAAGUGGAAUACGAACUACUUAAUGCAGCCCUUUUGUUUUGUUUUGUUAUUUUACUUAUUUUCCCUUUUUAUUACUUCACUAGUAUUUAAUUAUACUUACUUUUAAUAAUUGAUAGCAUUAAAAUUAUUAAUAUUUUUUUAAUUGUACAUCCAAUUAUUUAUAAAUAAAGAAGUAACUCAAAAUUAAUCAUAAGGGUUUUAGUCCAUAAUAGAAGUAGAAUUUAAUAUUAUAAAAAAAUAAUUAAAUUCUAUAUUUUGCGUGUCUUGAAACUUUUAUAUUUACAAUCUUCUCUCCUUAAGAGCAUUCAUCCUUGUGACGACCCAAAUGGUCAUCACCGUAAUUCUCCCUUUCUCUGUGCUUCUAAGGCCUUGAAAACCUCUAAUUUGGUUGCCUCAAUUUGCGUGUGCAGUACGGGCGCAAAGCUUGAAAAUUUUUAUGUGGAAAUAUAUGAAUUUUGUCUUAAAAACAAUGAAUUUUUAUAAUAAUAUUGAUAUAGUUGACUUUGGUUAAUGCUUUGGGUAAAUGGACCUGGACCCGUGAUAUGACGGUCCCGAAGGGUUCGCAGGAAAAUAUGAGACCCAGGCAAUCGAAAUCCAAGGUCCCAAGCCCGAGUACGGAAUUUUUGAAAGAAAUUGUUUAUUCUGAAAAUGAUUUGAAAAAGUAAAACGCAGAUGAGUUAGAAAAUAUAGGUAUCGGGCUCGUAUUUUGGUUUGGACGCCUGGUACAGGUCUUAUAUAUGCGUUAAGCGCUUCCUUUAAAGUUUGAUCGAAAUCGGACGUUAGUUUACGUGUUUCGGACCUAUAUAUCUAAAGAUAGAAGUUUAUGAAGUUGAAAUUGAAAAUGAUGAUUUUGGGGUUUAAUUCUUUGAAUUUGAUGUUGUUUUGGUGAUUUGAUCGCUUGACUAAGUCCGUAUGAUGUUUUAGAAGUCGAGUGCCUAAUUUGUUUGGAGCCCCGAGGGAUCGGGAGAGUUUUGGAUAGGCAUCGGAUUGCAUUUAUCAUUGUUGAAAAACCUGGUGUGCUUAAGUUCUGCAGGCUUCGCAUAUGCAAAGCCAGUGCUCGCAAUUGAGAAAUAUUCCCUGGGUAAUUUGUUUGGAGCCCCGAGGGAUCGGGAGAGUUUUGGAUAGGCAUCGGAUUGCAUUUAUCAUUGUUGAAAAACCUGGUGUGCUUAAGUUCUGCAGGCUUCGCAAAUGCGAAGCCAGAGCUCGCAACUGCGAAAUAACCCCUGGGCUUCUAUCUUCGCAAAAGCGAAGAACUUCAUCGCAAUUGCGAUGCCCCCUCCCUCCCUUAAGCCAAGUCUUCGUAAAUGCAAAGACUUCACCGCAAAUGUGAUCCCCCAACCUUAGGCGCUGGGUUCGCAAAUGCGAACACCAACUUCGCAAAUGCAAAGUCUGCCUUUCCUGCAUGUGAACGCAAAUUCGAACCCUUAUCUUGAAAUUCCCAUGUAUGUUGGGUUCGCAAUUGCGAACCCAGUUUCGCAAUUGCGAACCCAGUUUCGCAAAUGCGAUAUCUGCACCUGCAUAUUUCACACUUAAAUGAUUUUAAAGCUCAUUUGUCAUAUUUUCAAAAUCCAAACACCCAUUGGUGAUUUCUCACGAACUCUUUCCUUCACAAAUAAUUUGUAAAUCAACUUUUACUCAAUUUCUUAAAUCUUUAACAUCUUUUAUCAUGUUUUCAUCUCAAAAUAAAGGUUUUUCCAUAGGCAAAAAUGGGGAUUUGGGGUAGAACCUAGGUUUUCUUAAAUUGGGUAUUUGGACCUCAAUUUCAUGUCCGAUUUCAAAACAAAAUAUUGAUAUGAACUCGUGGGGGAAGGGUAACCCGAUUUUGGUUCGAACCUCGAGUUUUGACCACGUGGGCCUGAGGGCAUUUUGGAAAAUUUUGGGCAAAACUUUGGGAAAUUUAUUCUUAUGCAUUCAAAUUGAUUUAUCUAGCAUUUGUUGAUACAUUUGAGUAACUUGUGACUAGAUUCGAGCACUUUUGUGGCGAAUUCGAGGGGUAAAGCUAUCCUAUAGGUGUGAGUUGAGUUUGGAGCUUUCGAGGUAAGUGUUUGAUCUAACUUUGACUUGAGGGAAUAUGAUUAGGACAUUAUUUGCUAUGUGCUAUGUGGAGUCGGUGUAUAGGUAUGGUAACGUUUACCUAUGUGCCCGCGUCUAGCAUGACCGUGGGUCUUAAGUUCCUUCAAUUCGAAUAAUGUGGCAUGAUUGUUGCUUAAUUUGAUUGAGUUCACAUGAUAUGAUCGGUUGAAGACAAAUAGAGACUUGUAAAAAUUAUUGGAGUAUUUGCUCGAUUUAGAGUUGUUGGUAGUUAAGUGUUAGAAGUGGAAGUCUUGUGAUUAUUUCCCUUGCCGGGACUUUGGUAUAAAUUGAACCCUCCUUUGCCGGAAUAAUUGAGCUGUUAGUUAUAUUCCCUCAUCGUGACUCUUGUAUUUGAUGUUACUCCCCUUGCACUUGAGUUACGAAUGAUAUUGGGUGAGUUUUUUUGGUACUAAAUAUUGAGGAUCGGGUUGCACGCCACAACAGAUUAAUUGUCGAGGAUCGGGGUUGCACGCGCAAUGGUAUUAAAUGUUGAGGAUCAGGUUGCACGCUGCAACGGUAUUAAAUGUUGAGGAUCUGGUUGCAUGCCGCAACGGUACUAAAUACUAAGGAUCGGGUUUCACGCCACAACGGUAUUAAAUAUUGAGGAUCGGGUUGUGCACCGCAACAGAAAUAUGAACUGAGUAUAUGGGUCUUUGUUUUAAGCUUUCCGGUAUUUCUUUAUCAGUCGUUAUCCGCUCGGUUUCCAUUCUAGUUAGUUAAUUUCUGUAUUUGAAUUGUUGUACCCCACAACGUGUUUCCCUCCCCUUUUUACUGUUUAGAUUAGUGUAUUCUCCUAUUAUUGCAUAUAUCUGUACAUGUUAUUUGUGGUAGGUCCUGUCUAGCCUCGUCACUACCUCACAGGGGUUAGGCCAGGCACUUACCAGCACAUGGGAUCGGUUGUACUGAUGGUACACUUAUGUGCCCUUUUUGUGCACAUAUCAGGGAGCAGCUUACGGACCACUGCAACAGUUCUAGACCGGGAGCCGACCUUCAGUCCAGAGACACUUAGGUAGCUUAGCUGAAUUCCACGGGAUCGGAGUCUCAUCUAUGUCAUUUUAGUUUGUUUACUUGUAUCGAGACAGAUUCCUGUGUAUUUUCUUUUAGACGGAUGUUUUUACAUUCCUUAGUAGUUGGUGAGUAGUGACACCAAAUACUGGGUAGAUAUGUGUUUUACACUUCCGGAUUAUGAUAUCGUUUUUUUAUUGAAUGUCUUCCGCAUAUUUAAAUUUUUGUUUCAAUUUAUCGUAUUGUUUUAACUAAAAAUUUUGUGAAAUAUUUAAGGAUUUGGCUUGCCUAGCUCUGAAAGUAGGCGCAAUCAGGACCCCCGAUGGUGGGAAUUCGGGUCGUGACAAUCCUCGAAUGUUACUAGGGAAUUAUUCUUAAGCUAACAAUCAUUCCUUAAGUCUUGAACCUCUUAACGUUUCUUAGCACUACUCACUUUUCAAAGGGACUCAAAAUUUUGGCUAACUCCCUAAAUUUUUAAAAAUUUCAGCAGAGUUUUCCUUGUAAAUUGGACUAUCCAAAAAAAUAUCCCUGUCACAAAUGCCACAACUACACCAACAACAACCAAAUAUACCAUAGCAGACCAUUCAUAGGCACCAUACGUAGCUCAUAAAUUAAUUACUCACACUCCGGCAAGAAAGUACCACAAUAACUAAUAAGAAUCUAAUGACAACAACUUUAGCACAAGUAAAUCACUUUAAUCAAUUAAAUAUACUACUACAUAACUAAAUUACUACGACAACUAAGCAUAAUCUAGGAAUGACAUAAUUACUUGCUAACUUGUAUUUAAUAAGUGAAAUAUAAAUGUCCAACCAAACUUAGGUUCACAUAUAGGGUUGGUUUUCUCAUCUGAUCCUAAAUCAUUCAACAACCUGAGUGUUGUAGCUCUCUUGUUCUUGGCUGCUAGACGAGGAGCUGGGUAGAGAGAUAAUAGAUCCUCCCCCUAGGAUGGUAGCUUCUAUUCCUUGAUUGCCCCGCAAGUUAAAUAAGGGAUUCUAAUGCUUCUUGAAGCCAAAUAAGGGCAUAAACCACUAUAUAGAGUCUUGAGUGCCUUCCCUUCGGAAACCAACUAAGGCAACUCCGAUUGAAUGCGAAAUCCCGCUAGCCAUUAUUCGUAUGAACUCCUAGAUCCAUGAAGGACAUGGGCAUCUGCUGGCUGCUAGACGAGGAGCUGGAACCCCUACUCACCUCAACAUCUAUAAAAAUAGCUCCUUCUCCUUUUCAUAAUAAUAAGGUAAGCAUCCAGCUCUCGAUCCAGAGCUACAUCCAUGGGUUUUUUUUUUGGUUACAAGAAGUGCUUCUUUGCUUGCUUAUAGUGCCUCGACUCGAGUUUCCGUUGUACGAUUGAGUGAGUGACGAGACCAAAGUGGAAGGGCCAAUAUAGAAGCUAGAAGUAGCUAGUCUAUAGUAGUCAGCCUAACCAUAGCCUCACGACAACAUAAAAUUGGCCUUAUGAGUUGAGCAUAAGUAGGGGCCUUAGCCCGCCCACCUAUCAAUCAAAGAGGUUGUUAUUAGUCAAGCGCUAGCGCCCCUUUAGAGUAAGUCUUUUCUGUUAUCAAUGAAAUAGAAAGAAAGAAAAAAACUAGAAAGUCCCGGUGUGAACUCCCCUAGAUCUGAUAAAUACGGAUAUAUGUUUCUCAUAUCUUCCCCGACCUCCCAUGUAGCCUCUUUUGAAUCAUGAUUACUCCACAAAACUUUUACCGACGCAAAAUCUUUUGUUCUCAACUUUCUUACUUGCCUAUCGAAAAUUUCUAUAGGUACCUCUUCAUAUGUCAAGCCUUCUUUAAUUUCUACAGUAUUGGCACGUAUUAUAUGCUACUCAUCAUGAAUGUACUUUCUAAGCAUAGACACAUGAAAGACAGGAUGAACAGACGAUAACUCAACGGGUAGCGCUAGCUUAUAAGCCACGUUUCCUUUCUUUUCUAGAAUUUCAUAAGGUCCAAUAAAUCUGAGGCUAAGAUUCCCUUUCUUACCAAACCUCUUAAAUCCUUUCAUUGGUGAAGCUUUCAAAAACACCUUAUUACAAACUAUGAACUCUAAGUCACGAUGCCUUUUGUCAGAAUAAGACUUUUAACGACUCUGAGCCGCUUUAAGUCUUUCUCUAAUUAGAUAAACUUUCUCCAAGGCCUCACAAACAAACUCUGGACCAAUAAAUGGCACCUCUGAUGGUUCAAACCAACCCACUAGAGACCUACAUCUCUGCCCAUACAACACUUCAUAAGGAGUCAUACCAAUUUAGCCUGAUAGUUCUUAUUGUAAGCAAAUUCUAUUACACAAUUCUAUAAGUAGCUAGUAAUCAUCCCAAUUACCUCCAAAAUCCAUAACACACGCACGCAUCAUAUCUUCGAGAGUCUGAAUGGUCCUUUCUGCCUGGACAUCGAUCUGUGGAUGAAAAUCUGUUCUUAAAUUGACCUUGGUACCUAAUCUCUUCUGAAAUGCCUGUGAAAAAUGCACCGCGAACUGAGCCUCUAUCAGAUAUGAUUGAAACUGGAGUACCAUGCAAUCAGACUAUUUCCUUUAUAUACAACUGCACAUACUGCUCCGCGGAAUCUGUCGUUUUUACUGGUAGGAAAUGCGUGGACUUUGUCAACCGGUCUACAAUAACCCAAAUUAAAUCAUGUUUACGAUAUUUGCGAGGUAGACCUACUACAAAAUCCAUAUUAAUCAUCUCCCAAUUCCAUUGUAGUAUCUCUAUGUCUUGAGCUAGGCUACCAGGCCUCUGAUGCUCGGCUUUGAUUUGUUGGCAAUUUAAACAUUUAGCCACAUGAUCUGUUACUUGUUUCUUCAUGCCUUUCCAACAAUACAACUCUUUCAUAUUUAGAUACAUUUUGGUAGCGCCUGGGUGGAUAGAGUACCUCGAACUAUGAGCUUUUUCCAUUAUGCACUUCCUAUGACCUUGUACAUCAGGCACACAUAAUCGAUCAUUCAACUUUAAAACUCUAUCACUUCCUAGAGUGAAAGCAGUUAUUUUUUUUCUUCUGACUCGUUCUUUUAAUUUCAAUAAGUACGGAUCUUCGUCUUUCUUAGCUUUAACAUGCGCAACAAGGGAGGAUUGCGCUAAGGCAUAAGUAGUUAUAUCUCCUUCUUCGGUUUCAUUCAACCUAAUUCAAUCAUUUGCUAGUUUUUGAAUUUCUCGACCCAAAGAUCGCAUUUGUACUCUGAGAUGGGCCAAGACACCCAUUGGCUUCCUACUAAGUGCAUCUGCUACCACUUUAGCUUUUCCCGGGUGAUAAAGGAUAUUGAUGUCAUAAUCUUUCAUUAGCUCAAGCCACCUUCUCUGUCUCAAAUUUUGUUCUUUUUGCUUGAAAAUGUACUGGAGACUUCUUUGAUCUAUAAACACUUCAGAAUGCUUGCCAUAAAGGUAGUGUCGCCAUAUUUUUAAUUCAAACACCACUGCUGCAAGCUCCAAGUCAUGUGUGGGGUAGUUUUUUUCAUGAUUCUUUAACUACCUGGAAGCAUAAGCAAUAAAUUUUCCAUUUUGCAUAAGAACACAACCAAGGCCCACUCUGGAAGCAUCACAAUACACUGUGAACCCACCCAAACCCGUUGGCAAGGCUAACACAUGUGCAGUGAUCAACCUCUUUUUUAACUCUUGAAAACUUUGCUCAGAAGCGUCUGACCAUUGAAACUUAGUUGCUUUCUGAUUCAACUUAGUAAAUGGAGCUGCAAGUGUGAAAAACCCCUCCACAAACCUUCUAUUGAAGCCAUCUAACCCCAAGAAACUCCUAAUUUCGGUUGGCGUUGUCGGACUAGGCCAGUUAUUGACUACUUAUGUCUUUUGAGGGUCUACUUUUAUUCCUUCACUAGAUACCACGUGGCCCAAGAAUGCCAAUGACUGCAACCAGAACUCACAUUUUGAAAACUUGGCAUAAAGCUCAUUCUCCUUCAAGGUCUGCAAGGCUAUUCUUAGGUGUUCGGCAUUAUCUUCCUUGCUCUUAGAGUACAUAAAAAUAUCAUCUAUAAACACAAUAACAAAGGUAUCAAAGAAUGGCUUGAAAACUCUAUUCAUGAGGUCCAUGAAUGCAGCUGGGGCAUUUGUCAACCCGAAGGACAUCGCUAGAAAUUCAUAGUGCCCGUAGCGAGUUCUAAAGGUUGUUUUAGAUAAAUGUUUUCACUGAUUCUCAACUGAUGCUACCCCGAUCUCAAGUCUAUUUUUGAAAAGUACUUUGCACCCUGAAGUUUAUCAAAUAAUCAUCAAGUCUUGGUAGUGGGUAAUUGUUCUUAAUGGUAACUUUAUUUAACUGCCGAUAGUCGAUGCACAUUCUGAGAGACCCAUCUUUCUUUUUGACAAAAAGGACCGGGUCACCCCACGGUGAAACACUCGGCCUGAUGAAGCCCUUUUCAAGAAGGUCUUUCAACUAUUCUCUAAACUCAUUAAGUUCUUCUGGAGCCAUCCUAUAAGAAGGUAUAGAUAUGGGCUGAGUGUCUGGCAUGAGAUCAAUGCCAAAGUCUAUGAUUCUUUCAAGAGGAAGUCCGGGAAGGUUAUCUAGGAAAACUUCUGGAAAUUCUCUAACAAAUGGCACUAAUUGAAGAGCUGGUGGUUCUGAUUCUGGAAUAAUGAUGUGAGCCAAAUAAGCGAGACACCCCUUACUGAUUAUUCAUUGUGCCUUAUGGUAAGAAAUAAACUUACCUACAAGCGAUGCUGAAGUACCCUUCUAUUCUAAGACUUCUUCAUUUAGAAAUUGAAACCUGACUAUCUUGGCAUGAAAAUCUAACAUGGCAGUAGGAAGAUAACCAAUCCAUGCCCAUGAUCACAUCGAAAUCCACCAUUUCUAACAAUAUGAGAUCAGCUUUGGUGUUGCGACCUUCGACUGAAACUAUACAACCUCUAUAAACUUUGGUGACUUUCACUGACUCGCCAACUAGAGUAGAUACUAGGAAUGACUUACUAAGUUGUUCGGGUUCUAGCCUGAGGUUAAUUGCAAAGUAUGGGUUCACAUAUGAAAAUGUUGAACUUGUAUCCAUUACGGCAUAAGCAUUAUGUGAGCAGACUAAGAGUAUACCCAUAAUAACUUCUGCAGAUGCCUCUACACUCUGACGAUCAAGUGUGGCAAAAAACGGGGCUGUCCCUGUUGACGCCCCCUUUUUCAAAGGCAAAAUCGGGUUUUACGACAUUAUGGGCAAAACAACUCUAUUUCCCGUUUUGGAAUUGGGUUACAAAAUUAAAAGAGUCGCCACCUAAUGAUUAUAGUGCAUUAGUACACUUUAAGAGAGUGUUUUUGAGAGAGAAACCAGAGUUGGGUAAGGUCUUGAAAUUAUCUCGAGGGGAAGGUGUUAGGCACCCCUUAAGAUACACAAAUGUGGUUCGCGGCCGUCCUAAUUAUGACUUAAAAAAGAAUAUGAGGCAAGUAGACAAACGAAGUGCACAUGUAUAACACUCACAUAAUCUGAAAGCUUUACAAGAAAGGAAAGAUAUGAGUUUGAUAUAAUAGAGGAUUAGUUUAGAAAGCAUUAAGAAAACAAUAAAACACAUAGAAAAGGAAGAAGGGUCCUAGGUUUAACUAUAAUAUGGAUCAUUCGAUGUAAUAUCUAGCUCAUAUUCCCAAAGAGGGGUCGUUUCAAGAUAUUAUCGCAUCGUAAUCAUCUCCAUAUUCUACCAUCCCACCCCGCUAAGGUAUUAAAGCGCGUUGGUAUCGUUUACUUAUUGCAUGCUAAUACCCACCCAAACCUGUUAGUUCCGGGGUAUUAGGACUUCUAAUCCUAAAAAGGAGAAAAGGAAGUAGGAGACAUAUAUGGAGUAUUCAAAGGUAAAAUUGCUAGAGUGACAAUCAAAAACAAGUAGCAAAUAAGAGGGAUACAACUAAACAACUAAAGGUUCAAGUAAACCCCGUAGCAUACAACAAGUAGUUUAGCAUGACUUCAAUUACUGAUUUGGUCUUUAAAAGAGCUUAGGAGAGCGGGCGGAUUAGUUUAACAUAUAAGAGUUGGACAGAAAAUCUGCUUCGAGCUCCCCGGGCCCAUUUUAGAAGUUGACAGACUUUAGAAAAUCAGUAAGCCUUUAGAGAAAAGAUGCUAGUUACAGACAAAAGUUUGUUUAAAAUAUUUAGAGUUUCAGACAAGUUUUAGGAAAAGAAAAACACGAGUUUCAGACGGAAGUCUGUUUAAAAAAUUUAUAACUGCAGACAAGAUUUGUAAAUCAAUGGGAUAAGUUGAAUAAAAGGUUAUAAGGAGUUUUGAAAUACUUGAAACACAUGGACUUAAACAAACAGUUGCCGGUUAAACAUAGAAGACAACUUAUAGGCUCAGAAUUUUACGAAAAAGGGGCAGAUCUGGGCCCGUUUCAAAGUAACAGAUUUAAGAUAAGUUGAAAAACUGAGUUGUUUGAAACAUUAACCGAUCUGGACUAAAAAAUUGUUUAUUACUUUUUGAUUAUAGCUCUGCAUAAUUAGACGUCCUACUAUUUUUCCUAGCGUUUAUAUAAUACCCAUAGGCAUACUUUCUAGGUGAGUUUAUAAGAUGCAAACCUAAUAGCAUGGUCUCUAUAUGAAGUUGGUGCAAUGUGAAAGAGCCUAGAGACAUGGCAUGUACAUGAUAUGCAACAAUGUAAAAAAAAGGCAUAGUAACAUGUCACAUGGAUAAAAUAAAGGUCCUAAGGCAUGGUUUCUACUAAUGCAAAGAUGAAUAAGCCUAUUGUCAUGGUUUCUAUAUGGCAUUGAUGCAAUAAGGUAAAGUCCUAUAGGCAUGUUAUCUAUAUGGUGAUGCAACAGUAGUAAGAUUAUAUUCAUGGUAACUAUAUAGAAACUGAUGCAAUGAAGUAAAGUGACCCUAUAGGCAUGAUCUCUAAUGAAGGUGAGAAAGUAAAUCCCCCAUGUCCCUUUCACUAUACCCCGAGUUUACAUUACACAUUAUUACAAACUGGGCCAAAAAGUAAAGACAUUAAAAGAAAUAAAAAAUUUAAAAGUACAUCAGCAGCUAUAACAGGCUCGAGGGGUCUCGAAGCAACUUUAACGCCCGACAUAUGCCUUCUACCAAAUUUGAGCUCUCUAGAUCUGAGGCUUUUCUCCUUUUAGAGCGUUACAAAGUUCCAAAGGCCUUUGAAAGAGACCCAGGUAUUGCUUACACCCUAGUUGGAAUAGUGCAAGUGUGGAAUUACCAUCCCUAAGGCAUCCAAGUUCAGAAGAGACUCUCAGGGUCCCUAAGCAUGGCUGGCCAAAGGGGGAAGGGGAAUAGUGCAAGUGUGGAAUUACCAUCCCUAAGGCAUCCAAGUUCAGAAUAGACUCCAAGGUCGCUAAGCAUGGCUUACCAAAGGGGUGUAGGAACAUAAAGGGGCUAAGAAUAAGUGCAAAGUGAGGAAUAAAGGGAACCAAUGUAUGAAGUGGUCAUACCCAGCCUAUUGUCGAGACUGGAACACCCCAGACUCCUCAGAAAGGUUACAAGCAGGAGCAGACUUGUAAACAAGUUAGACAAGGACCUGGAAGGUGAUUAAGACACCAACAGGACUUUGUCCAGGCUCAAGCACAUAAGAGGGGAAAAGGGAUUGAGAUCAUUCUGAGUAUAGGCAAUUAAGUCUUGGUUCUAGAUUAGAAUUGGCAAUGAGAUGCCAUUCACAUCCAAAACAAACUCAUAGGCAAACAUGGGUAAAGGGGAAGGGGAAAUCACAUGAGAUUUUUACAGACAAAAUUAAGUAGAAAUAAAACAUAGUGAUGGACAACACACAAGCAGCAAAAAGGAAUUUAACAUACUCAAAUACUGAAAACAACCAAAGGGAAACUGAAAAGGACUAACAUGCUGAAAUUUAGCAUAAACAGGUGAGAGAUAAAGGGAGAGGUGGUUUAACAUAACUGAAAUCUGCGGCAUAAACAAUGGAACAAGGGAUAGGGAUUUAAACGUACUAAAAACUCAUAUGAGAUAAAAUAAUCAGACAAAGGGGUAAAGGGAAGGGGAUUAAGCAUGUUAGAACUUAAGUAAAGUACUGAAAGAAACAAGCAAAGGGAAAGGGAAAGGGAUUUACAUGCUGACACUAAGCUAUAAGUAUAGCAGGCAAAGAUAGGGUGCAAGUAAACAAAUAGUUGAAGGACUAGUAAUUGAGAUUAGAACCUACCAGUUGCACUUGAAUGACAAAAGCAAAGAGAAAUUCAAAGACAAGAUGAAAUUAAACAAGUAGUUGAAGGAUUAUUAAUUGAGAUUAGAACCUACCAGUUGCACUUGAGUAACAAAAGCAAAGAGAAGUUCUAUAAUUAGCCUUGGCUUUCAGCCGGCUAGCCUUUUACAGAGAGCAAGUAGCAAGAAGAGAAAAAUAGAGAGUUUUGGUGAGAAAGAGUAGAGAGGACUCGAGAAUCGGUAUGUGUGUGUUUUUUGUUGAACUCAAGAUGUUUUUUUUUGAAAAUAAAGGGUGGGGGUAUUCAUAGUUUGCAAACAGGCAAGCAAAUAAGGCAAGAAUAAUUCAGUACCAAUUAGAAUCAAUCAGAAGAAUGGAACUCCUUUAAUUAAGGAGUUCGAAUUUGAAUAGGACAGGAUAAAGUUGUAUUUAAGGAAAGAAAAUCAAUAACACAUAGUGCAAUCAAGGGUAAAUACAUGCGAGAAGCUUUUAAUACUACACGGUUAGGUAAAUAAGGUAAAGGUUAAAUCAAUUAUCACCUAGUAAAUCAAAUAUUCAAAGAUUUGUACUUAAUAAUGAACUAAGUCAAGAAUAGGUCCAGAUCAAAUGAGGGAAGAAUUAAACAAGGUUACAUAGAAAAUCAAUCCCCAAGAAUUAGGGUUAUUUUGAAAGGAAUGGCCUGACUAUAAAGAGAUGCACAGAUUUAAGCAUGCGAGGCUAAAAAAUAAACAGAGUAGAAGAGCACAGUCACGAGAUCCAUAGGUCACACAGAUUUAAGCAUGCGAGGAUAAAAAAAAUAAAUAGAGUAGAAGAUCACAUUCAUGAGAUCCAUAGGUCUUGCAAAGCUUAGCAAGAAUCAAAGAGUUUAGAGAAUUAGGGGUUCGAAAUCAAACAGGCAGCAAACAAUCGCACACAAAUGGUGUGAAACCCCAAAAAUCUAGGGUUUCUUCCACAAGUCGAGUCUAAUGGUAAAUGCAUGGCGAAUCAGUCAAAGAGUAAACUCAGAAAGUCCAAAGAACACAAACAUUCAUGGAAGCUUAAUUAAAGAAGAACAGUAAAGAAACUACUCGAAAACCCUAGAAAAGUAUAAUGAGGAUAAUACAUAGAAAACACAGAUAAACACUUAGGAAUUACAGCGAAGUAAAAUAAUGGAAGAAAUCAAAGUGAAACAAGUAGAAAUCACGGCAACCCUAAGUUUUGAGAAGACGAACAGUUUUUUAAAACACGACUAGGUGGAGUAAAAGACGAGAGAUACUUAAAAAAACUUAGAAAACAAAUAAGACUCAGAGAAAAUCGUAAAAUAAUACAGAGAAAUAGGAGAAAGAACCUCGAAUCAAUUAGGGUUUUCAUAAAAGGCCUCAGAAAUGACGAGAAAAUCCUGGAUGGCUCAUCGGAGCUUGGUAAGAACCCAGGACUUCAAAAGCUCGCCGGAGAAAAGGCUGAAACGGCCAUGAAACCCCCAUUAAAGGACCUCAGGUCCAGUUACCAUCGAAACCAAACCCCGAUCCUCGAACCCAAAGUCCAGGAAAGUUGAAAAAUGGACGAGCAUGUGAGUUUCCGGCCUAGAAUGGCCAUUAAAGCCGGCGAAGAGGGCCUGAAGGGAUUAGGGUUCACAGGAAACCUAGAGAGCAUUUUGGUAGUGAAGGCGGUAGAAUCAAAGAAGUGAUUAGAUCUAAGGGGGUUUGGGCGUUUAAUUUGGUAAGAAAUAAUGUGGGCUGUUGAUCUCAUAGAUCAACGGCCAGGAUUAGAAGUGGGGAAACCGGGCGGGUUAUGUUUGGGUUUGGUUUGGGACAGGUAUUUAAAUUAGAUUGGGUGGAUUGGGCUUAAGAUUGGACUGGAAUUUGAUGUAAAAUAGGGGAUAAAAUUGAAAGAAUAGGGGCUAUAUUUUAAAUAUCCAAUUUAACCGCAUUUAAUUUUAUAUAAAAUAAUAAACCAUUUUAUAAAAAUCCAAUAAAAUUACUGAGACAAUAAAAUAGGUUUAGGAAUUAAUUAAAAAUAUUAGGAACAAUUUAACACUUGAAAUACUUAUUAAAUUGAGAAAAUGGGCUAAAAUUGCAAUUUAAUGCAAUUUUAAUUUAAACAUACCUAAUGGCUUUGUAAAAUCCUGCAAAAUUACAUAAAUUAUAUUUUUAUGUAAAUGAGAGAAUAAAAUAAUUUUUUAUUAAAAUAACAAGAUUUGACACUAAAUAUUAGAUUUUACAGUAUAAAAAUAAGUCAUAAAUUGGUUUUAAAAUGCUUGGAAAAUUAUAGAGAAAUACCAAAACUUUUGUGGAUGCUUAUCUAUGCAUUCACAAGCUAUUUUGAAAGUAUUUUGGAUACAAAGAUACAUAGGGAAAAAUUGGGUAUCAACAGCUGCCCCUCUUACCCGAGGAGGAUGAAAGAGUUGCCGGGUAAAAACAAGAUGGCCAAUUUUUACCGAAAGUGACAAUUGUACAAGAAUUUCGACCGUGCUCUGGCUUCUAAGCUGCCUACAUAUCCCUGGUUUUACAGAAAUCAGGUCGUACGUAGUUCAGGAGCCAUUAGCGGAAUGUGCCAAUGAAUAUUUGAAGCUGUGGAUGCAACGGGGUUCGAGAUUUGGCAAGGGUUCGAGGAUCGGACGAGCUGCGGAGAACUAGAGCGGAGAACUGGAAUGGGAACGCUUCUGCAUGAGAUAACCGUGCCAGCCGGCGUACCUGCAAAUGAAUGAUGUGCGGAUAUUUUGCAUGAUUUAAACGUGAUGAAAAUUCCGAUUGGACCAUAAAUGUUGUCUUCGGAGGAUUAGGAUGGCGUCCUCAGACUAUGACGUCCGAGCUAUGAAGAGCAUAAAGUAAAUAUUCGCAGGCCAUGAAAUGGUGUUCUCGGGCCAUGCGGAUGGUGCCUCCGAACUAUGACGCCUUUGAAUAAGUUGGCGAUAUUUCUGCCCAUGAGAAGGUGGCAAUAUUUCAGCCGAAUGAAUGCAAGGAUGGCGAUGUUUCAGCCAAAGCGAGAAUUUAAAUGCGGGGGCGAUAUUUCAGCCCAAAUAAGAUAGGGUGGCGAUUUUCAGCCAAAAUGCAAAAUAAAAGAGGUAGGGUUUAACCUCGGAAGGUAGAGAAUAGCCUUAUGCAAUGUAGGAUGGAGACAGAGCUUAGUCUCGAAAGGCAGAAGAUAGCCUUAUGCAGGAUGGAGGUAGAGCCUAGCCACGGAAGGCAGAAAGUAGCCUUAUGCAACGACAUAGGCAGAGCUUAGCCUCGGAAGGCAGAGAUAGCCUUAUGCAAUGCAAGAUGGAGACAGAGCUUAUUCUCGAAAGACGGAAAAUAGCCUUAUGCAAUGCAAGAUGGAGACAGAGCUUAGUCUCGAGAGGCAGAAAAUAGCCUUAUGCAAGGAUGGAGGUAGAGCUUAACCUCAGAAGGGAGAAAAUAGCCUUAUGCAAUGAUGGAGGCAGAGCUUAGCCUCGGAAGGCAGAGAAUAGCCUUAUGCAAUACAAGAUGGAGACAGAGCUUAGUCUCGAGAGGCAAAAAACAUCCUUAUGCAAGGAUGGAGGUAGAGCUUAACCUCGGAAGACAGAAAAUAGCCUUAUGCAAUGCAAGCUGGAUGAGGCAGAAAAUAGCCUUAUGCAAUGAUGGAGGCAGAGCUUAGCCUCGGAACGUAGAAAAUAGCCUUAUGCAAGAGUGCAGAAAAUAUAAAUGAGAGGAUGACGGUGAUUUUCUUAGCUGGUAGAUGAUUGUGAUAUUGAUGACUGUUGGGGUAGCAUUGAAUGUAGAUAGUAAACCUUUGUCAGGUAGGUAGUGGCUUUGUUUCAUAAAACUCCUGCAUUGCCUAUUUGCACCCUGGGUUCCUGCAUCCAAAGAAAAUUGUGAGUUCUGUAAGAGGGAGGUUAGUUCGCAUCCUUCGACACGUGGAGCUCUGUACCCUCUUGGGGUAGCAUUGCUGAACGAUAGCGAUCCAAAUGAUUUUAUGCAAGAUUUGACAAAUAUGAUGCAAAUGUAUGUAUAUAAAAUAAAGUAAAAGGUAGUUUUUGUUUUAUGAUGAACUAUAACUGUAACGUGGUUCAAGGCACGACAACCUCGCUGGCUCCGGAAUUUUGAGGGUCCUCCUCAAAAUUCUGCCCCAGUUUGUUGGGCUAGUGUUGUUGACGACGGCGCUGCAUGAAUGAAGGCGGAUUGAUUUUAGAAUUUUGAGGGUCCUCCUCAAAAUUAUACCCUAGUUUACUGGGUUGAUGCAGAUACGAAAGUUGGAAAACUGACUUCGGAAUUUUGAGGGUCCUCCUCAAAAUUCUACCCCAGUUCCAAGUGCGGGGGAAAAAGGAAUUUUAUUAAUGAUGUGACCGAACCCAUAGGGCUGCCUACGUAUCCCCUCUUAAACGGGAAUCAGGUCAGAUGUAGUUCAAAUUACACCAUAAAGAAAGCAUACUGAUUAAAUGUAAUAUCUCUUCACUGCAUCCGAGUUGAUUGGUUUUGGCCAGAGUUCUCCAUCCAUUUCUGCAAGAAUAAGGGCUCCUCCAGUUAGGACCCAAUGAACCAUGUACGGACCCUGCCAGUUGGGAGAGAACUUCCCUUUGGCCUCGUCUUGAUGUGAAAAUAUUUUAUUCAACAUUAGCUGUCCCGGUGUAAACUUCCUUCGUCGAAUUUUCUUAUUGAAGGCUCUAGACAUUUUGUUCUGAUAUAAUUGACCGUGGCAAACAACGUUCAUUCUUUUCCCAUCUAUAAGGGCUAAUUGCUUGUAUCGAACCUUGACCCAUUCUGCGUCAUCUAACUCAGCUUCUUGUAUGAUUCUCAAGGAUGGAAUCUCUACCUCGGCGGGAAUCACUUCCUCUGUACCAUAAACUAGCAUGUAGAAAGUUGCCCCGGUUGAUGUGUGAACUGUAGUACGAUAACCCAAUAGAGCGAAUGACCACUUCUCAUGCCACUGCUUAUGCUUUUCAAUCAUUUUCCUUAGUAUUUUGUUGACGUUCUUGUUUGCUGCUUCUACGGCUCCAUUCAUCUGAGGUCUAUAAGCUGUAGAGUUCCUGUGCCUGAUCUUGAAAGUUUCAGACAUCGCUUUCAUCAAGUCACUCUUGAGAUUGGAACCAUUAUCAGUGAUGAUCGACUCUGGAACACCGAACCGACAGACAACCCAAUCUCGCACAAUGUCUGCCACGACUUUCUUGGUUACUGCCUUGUAUAAAGCUGCUUCAACCCAUUUAGUGAAGUAGUCAAUCGCCACUAGAAUGAACCUAUGUCCAUUCGAUGCGGCAGGCUUGAUUGGCCAAAUGACAUCCAUUCCCCAAGCGGUGAACGUCCAUGGUGAGCUCAUUGCAGUGAGCUCGUUUGGAGGUACCUUUAUCAUAUCCGCAUGAAUCUGGCAGCGGUGACACCUUCAGACAUAUUGAAUGCAGUAUGUUUCCAUGGUCAUCCAGAAAUAUCCUGCCCUGAGUAUUUUCUUUGCCAGAACAAAACCGUUCAUGUGCAUUCCACAAGUCCUUGAGUGCACUUCCUCCAAUAACCUGGUUGCUUCUGUCGCAUCGACACACCUUAAUAGUCCCAAAUCAGGAGUCCUCCGAUAUAGGAUUCCUCCGCUGUGAAAGAAAUUGUUGGACAACCUUCGAAGCGUGCGCUUCUGAGUNNNNNNNNNNNNNNNNNNNNNNNNNNNNNNNNNNNNNNNNNNNNNNNNNNNNNNNNNNNNNNNNNNNNNNNNNNNNNNNNCGAUCUGCAUUAGCAAGCUCUGGAUAUUCUCCUGUUGUCAGGUACCUUUUGAUGUCGUGGAACCAGGGUUUUCCGUCGGCUUCUUCCUCAACAUGUGUAUAAUAAGCCGGUUGAUCCUGAAUUUUGACCCGGAUAGGGUCGAUGAAAUUUGUAUCUGGAUGCUGGAAUUCCAUUUUUCUGAAUCUCUUUCUCAACUCCUGUAUGCGAUGCAAAUAAGGGAGUAUCUUGAAUUCUUAGUUGCCCACUCUUCUCGGACCUGGUGUAUGAGUAGGUCUAAAUUCCAAAUCACUAGUAGCUCCUGAAUGUUCAUAUCAAUGGCCAGUUUAAGCCCUAAUAUGCAAGCUUCAUACUCGGCCAUGUUAUUGGUGCAUGGGAACCUGAGCUUGGCGGAUACCGGAUAAUGCUAACCGGUUUCUGAUACUAGGACUGCUCCAAUACCAACUCCUUUGAAAUUCGCGGCUCCGUUGAAAAAAAUCCUCCAACCGCCAUAGGAUUCUGAUAGUACCAGCACUGCUCCAAUACCGACUCCUUUGAAAUUCGCGGCUCCGUUAAAAAACAUCCUCCAACCGUCAUAGGAUUCUACAAUAUCUUCUCCUAUGAAAGCUAUUUCCUCGUUGGGAAAAUAUGUCUUCAAUGGUUCAUAUUCCCUUUUCAAAGGAUUUUCUGCGAGAUGAUCUGCCAAAGCAUGUCCUUUAAUUGCCUUUUGGGUGACAUAGACGAUGUCGAAUUUACUCAACAAAAUUUUUCACUUGGAGAGCUUGCCAGUGGGCAUGGGCUUAUGAAAGAUGUAUUUUAGUGAAUCCAUUCUUGAUAUAAGGUAUGUGGUGUAAGCACACAAAUAGUGUCUCAACUUCUGAGUUAUCCAAGUUAAAGCACAACAGGUGCAUUCUAGCAAAGAAUACCGAGCCUCGUAAGGGGUAAAUGUCUCGCUGAGGUAGUAAAUGUCUUGCUUCUUCCUCCCCGUUUCAUCGUGUUGUCCCAAGACACAACCAAAUGCUCCGUCUUAAACUGCAAGAUAGAGCAAUAAAGGCCUCCCAAGCUCAGGUGGGACCAGGACUGAAGGUGUAGAAAAGUAUUCCUUGAUCCUGUCGAAAGCCUUUGUACAUUUAACGGUCCACUUGGUGGCGGCAUCCUUCUUCAGCAUCUUGAAGAUAGGUUCGCAAAUUACGGUAGAUUGAGCUGUGAACCGGCUGAUAUAGUUAAGUCUCCCUAGGAAACUAAUUACCUCUUUCUUGCUUUUCGGAGGUGGCAACUCUUGAAUAGAUUUGAACUUUGAUAGAUUCAGCUCUAUUCCUCGGCUACUUACGAUGAAACCCAAUAACUUUCCCACAGGGACCCUGAAUGUACAUUUAGUGGGAUUCAGUUUCAAGUUAUACCUCCUUAAUCUAUUGAAAAACUUUUGGAGGUCUUCCAUGUGAUCUGCAGCCUUUUUGGAUUUAAUGAUGACAUCGUCCACAUAUACCUCAAUCGCUUUAUGUAUCAUGUCGUGAAAGAGGGUAGUCAUAGCCUUCAUGUAAGUAGCCCCCGCAUUCUUCAACCCGAACGACAUCAUUCCAUAGUAAUACAUUCCCUAAGUCGUGAUGAACGCCGUUUUCUUUGCAUCUUCUUCAUCGAUCCAUAUCUGAUGAUACCCCGCAAAGCAAUCGACGAAUUACUGCAACUCAUGCUUGGUGCAGUUGUCGAUCAGAAUGUGUAUGUUUGGAAAGGGGAAAUCGUCUUUGGGACUGGCCCGGUUGAGACCCCGGUAGUUGACACAGACUCUAACCUUCCCAUCCUUCUUUGGUACUGGCACAAUGUUAGCUAACCAAGUUGGAUAUUCUACCACUUGAAGAACUCUGCCUUUGACCUGCUUGGUAACCUCCUCUUUGACCUUUAGACUCAUAUCUGGCUUGAAUUUUCUGAGCUUCUGUUUUACCGGUGGACAUGCAGGAUCUGUAGGUAGUUUCUAAGCGACGAUGGACUUGCUGAGACCGGUCAUAUCAUCAUAACACCAUUCCUAGAUAUCCUCAUAUUCCUUCAAGAACUUUUUAUAUUUCUCUUUAUCUGCCUGUGAUAAGUGCACACUGAUGCGCGUUUCUUUGACAUUAUCUGUAUCUCCUAAAUUGACGACUUUGGUUUCAUCCAAGUUAGACUUAGGCCUAUUCUCAAAAUUUUCGGCCUCUCUGACAACCUCUUCUGGUAUAUCAUCCUUCUCUGAGUCUAUGUCCAUUUGUUGCAUAGCCUUGUUGCAAGUUACAGUUGUUGGUUCAUCAUCAAGACAAGUAAUAGUAAUGUUGUGUGGGUCUACGUCUGUUUGUUGUAUAGCCUUGUCGCAAGUUACAGCUAUUGGUUCAUCAUCAAGACACGUAAUAGUAACGAUGUGUGAAAAGUAAAUAGCAGAGAAAAGUAAUGAAUAGCGAGACAUUUGAUAAAAUUGAAAAUACUUUUGAUUGAAUUCAUAAAUGUUCAAACAUCGGGGCUCUUUUGGAAAGUAAAGACAAAUGCGGAAAAUAAAAAAAAACAACUAAAAUAAAGAUGCAUGAUACUUGUUCAGCCUUGCUACCCCAAAGGUUUCUGGGCGAUGGUGGUCCUAAUUGUCCAGUUGGUGAGGCGCUAUCCUCGGUUCACGUCCUAAAUGGAAGGGCCUUCCUCCCCUUCUUCUUCAAAGAUCACACAACAAUCCAUGUCAUCCUCCAGAAACAGGUUUUUCAUCGCUGCAAGAGCCUCAUCUUCCUUUGAACCGUAAAGAGUGUCGGCUAGCUGAAAUGUCUGCUCCACUGAGGUAUGGGGUGUUCCAAUGGAUAAUAUGGGCCACGCCAUGGUGGUGACCAGUUUCUGAAUUCUUGCCAAAUAUACUCGUACCCCAGUCUUAAGGUAGUACCAUGUUUCUUCAACUAGAUGGGUUUGGUAAUACCUUGAAGAUUCUUACCAAGUCAUUUCCCCGGUUCAUACCCACUCCCAUUAAGAAUUCUUUCAACCUUGUUGCUCCACCAUUUUUCCUUAUCCACUUCGUUGACCCGAUCGAUAUGAUGAUAUGUCUGGUUCAUACCCAGUCCAAUUAAAAAUGCAUUCAACCUUGUUACUCCACCGUUUGUCCUUAUCCACAGACCCGCUCGAUAUGAUGAUAUGUCUCACCACCUAUUCUUCUUCUGCCUCCGAUCAUUAAAAUGGUCUGGCGACUGUAUAUGGGGUAGCUACCGUUGCCAUGGACGAUUACUUCCUGAUGGUUCCAUUCGAAUUUCACAUCAUGAUGUAAAGUUGACGCCACAGCCCCAACAACAUAGAUCCAGGGUCGUCCCAACAGUAAGUUGUAAGAGGCUGGUAUGUCGAUGACUUGGAACUCAACAUCAAACCAAGUAGGUCCCAUUUGCAAACACAAGAUAACCUCCCCGAGAGUAGACCUCUGAGAACCAUCAAAAGCCAUUCCUUUUGACAUUCAUCGGUCCAUUUGGUGGGGCUAAUCUCCCCGAGAGUGGACCUCUGAGAACCGUCAAAGCCUUGACAUUAAUAGCCCCAUCUUUUAUCUCGUGCAACCCUCUUCCCAACUUCUUGAGGGUGAUCAGUAGACAAAUGUUGAGACUAGAACCUCCGUCAACUAGGAUUCUGGUGAUGAAAUGCUCGUCACAUUGCACGGUGAUGUGCAGUGCUUUGUUAUGACUGAGCCCUUCAGGCGGCAAUUCAUCUUCAUGGAAAGUCAUUUUGUGACUCUCCAACACCUACCCUAUCAUGUUUUCCAUUUCCCCUCCUGUUAUGUUGCUCGGGACAUAAGCCUCACUCAAUAUCUGCAUCAAGGCGUUCUUAUACACCUCGAAACUCUGAGGCAAUGCUAAGAUUGAAAUCUAUUCCGGAGUCUUGUUUAGUUGUUCAACUACUGAAUAUUCCUUAGCCUGUAUCUUCCUCCAGAGAUCGUUAGGUCCAGUUUCCAUGGGACGUCCAGAGGCGUGUUUGCUGGACUCGGCUAGGUGCUCUGGUGUUUACACCCUGCAUGUUCUAGUCAUUCCUUGCACGACAAUUGCUUCACUUGUGCGUGCUUUUCCUUUCCUUCUCGCCUCGGCUGUGUAGUCCCAAGGUAUGGCAUUUGACUGAAAUGGGGUUAUAUCUGACAUGGUGACCGGAAUGGGCACCCUUGGAGGCAACAUAUAACUUCAAUUGGUGCGGGCGUCUUUGGAGUCCCGAACUCCACCUCAACUGGCUUUGGCACGUUUGCAGGAGGUGCCUCAAACUCAAAUGGUACAGAUAUAUUUCAUCACGUUGUCCUCAGAUGGCUGGAUCUUAACAACAAUAGGAUUAAGAGUGACCGCCAGUUUCUUAGGCUCAUCCCACUCAGAUAUAAAAUCGAUCGACCUUCAGGGUCCCAGUCGUCUUCUACCUCAAUCAUGUGGAUGCCUCCACCUUUGUGUUCUGGAAGAGGGUUGUUACGAACAUUAGGAGUAGGCUCCUUAGCCACAAUUACCUUAUUGUCAAUUAAGGUCCGAAUUUUGUCUUGCAACGAGCGGCACUCGUCAAUGGUAUGGCCUUUCAUCCCCGAAUGGUAUGCGCAUGUUUUAUUUGGGUUAAUCCAUUGGGACGGGUUCUCUGGUUUUAUGGCUGGGAUGGGUGUAACACAUCCGGAGGCAUUGAGCUUCUUAGAGAGUCUCUCAAUAGGUUCAACAAUAGCGAGGGUUCUCUGAGGUUAUGGUUGGGAUGGGUGUAACAUAUCAAGUGGCUUUGAGCUUCUCAUAAAGUUGGUCACUGGGUUCAGCAAUAGCAGUGCACUGUAUGGGUGGUCUGCGGUCAAAAUUUGGUCUCGGUGGUGGGAAGUUUUGACGGGUAGGUGGUGAUGGAUAGUGAGGAGGUUGGGGUAUGUAGGCUUGGUACACACAUGCUGGUUGGGAAUAUCCUAGCGAGGUGGGUUGGUAUGUUGGUGGUGGAGAUGACUGGUAGACGGGUGGUGGAUUUUGAUAAUUGGGCGAAGGUGCUUGGUAAUUUUGAGAAGGUUGGUACGUGAGUGGAGUUGGAGGUUAGGGUUGGUAUUUCAUAGGAGAAUGGUUUCUUUGUGCAGCCAUUACGGAUUUUACGUCCUUUUUCUUUGAUGAACCACCAGAUUGCAAGGCUUUGUUGGUGGCCUGCAGUGCCUCAAGAUUGGUAACCAUACCAUUUUUUAUUCCCUCUUAAAUCCUUUCUCCCAUUUUGAUGAUAUCAGCGAACUUCUGCCUCUCUAUCAGCAUCAAUCUCUCAUAAUACUGUGGGUCCUGGGCACGAACGAAGAACCUAUUCAUUUGUUCUUAUUCCAAAGCCGGCCUGACUUUGGCAGCUUCCGACCUCCAACGAGUAGCAUACUCGCGAAAGCUUUCAGUAGGCUUCUUCUUAAAAUUCUGAGUGUAGAACACGUCUGGUGCGUUCUCAGUGUUGAACCUGAAAUGAUCCAUGAAAUCGGACGCCAUGUUUACCCAACUUGUCCAUUUCUUCGCAUCCUGGCUGAUGUACCCAUAUAAAGCAUCCCCUUUCAAACUCAUCAUGAAUAGCUUCAUGCGGAUCUUCUCAUCCUUACCAACUCCCACUAAUUUGUCACAAUACAUUCUGAGGUGAACCCUGGGAUCACCCGUGCCAUUAAACAUCUCGAACUUAGGAGGUUUGUACCCUUCCAGGAGUUCGACAUCAAGCUGAACACAAAGGUCUUCAUAAUUCAGACUUUCUACACCCCUAUCACCUUCCACACCUUGGACCCUAUUAGUGAGUUCCUUGAGUUCAGCAGCCAAGUUCUGAAUGAGUGAAUCUGAUUCUGACACAUCCGGCAUGGGUUGUGUAUAGUAUGGCAUAGUAUCCACAAAGAUAGGGGUAUCCUAGUGGUUUGGAGCAUUUUUAGGCUCAGGGAUGAGCGGUGGAGCAUUAUUGCGAACUUGGGUUGGGGUCUUCUGCGGAGGUGCAGAGACCUGAUUGUUGACAUCUGCAGUAGCAAGGGAGAUGGACAGACUUGCCAAACUCCGGAUCUGGUCCGGUUCCUCGGUGCAAGGACCUGGUUGUUGACAUCUGCAGCAGCAAGGGAGAUGGACAAACUUGCCAAACUACAGACCUGGUCCAAUUCCUCUUGAAACCUUAGCAAAGUUUGCUCCAAGUGAGAAACAGUUUCUUUGGUGAUUGGGGUACCCUGAGAAGUUCCUUCAGUUUCCUUUUCUUUCUUCACUAUCUGCCAAUCUUUCCUUUAUUCCUGUUUCUGAGAGGACUCGGAGGAGGAGGAGGAGGAGGACCCUUAGAUCUUGUUGAAUAUGCCGAUUGUGCCAGAAUGCAGGAACUAACCUUUGGGGAGGGGGAUAAAAACAAAACGAAAACAAAAAGGUAAAUAGUUAGUGCCGAUUCUGAGGAAGAAAACAUUGCAGUAUGUAAACACGUUGUUGCAAGAAUAUAAAUUAUUUCCUAUUUGGGUGCCUCAUUAUUCUCGAGGUAGGCCUAGCGACAAAUAAUGAUUUGGAGAACUCAUAAUACCAAAUGCCUCAUUUUUGUUGAU
rnacentral:lncRNA from 1 species